AGUGCUGCUGAAGGAGAGUAAAAGAGUCCAUUGCCCCACUGCACCUCUACAGCAGUAAGUAUCAUCCCUAGAAUUAAGAAUUAUCCACCAAACUCUUUAUUAGCUGAACCAGGGUGUUGCUGCUGGGCUGGAGCUAAAGCCUGCACUCCCUAUAGCUCUGCAUGACUCUCUGUGACUGCAUCACACAGAUGCAAACAGUUAUUUUUGUAAGGAGUGCAAUAAGUAAAUCUAGUGAAGGAAAAUGUGUUCCCUCCCACAGAGUGAAGAGGAAGUUGAAGUCGGAGAAGAAACAGUCCUCUUUGGGCAGUGGGCCAACUGUUCCAGGGACCUCCAGUGGGCCUGUGGAGCCUCAGGUUUUCCUAGGAGUUCAACCCCAGAAUGGAUCACCUCUUCUGGGCUCAGGCGUAUCCACAACCCCCCAGAAUCUAGAUGACUCUCUGGACCAGGGUCGCAUCCUCACACCCCCCUCUUUAGGAGUUGUGAAGGAGGAGCUAGCUGAGCUGAGGGGGGAGGAGAGUUGCAGGGCUGAUUUUGGUUUCCCCACCACUGUGUUGACCCCCUACGAUGAUUUGAAGCCUGUCAGCAUGUCAGCCAAUGCCAACACACAUGCUCAGUCAACAACCGCAAACACACACCCUCAGCCGAACACUCACUCCCAGUCUCCUCUGACCGUGCUAGCUGACCAGGCGCUGGUGCAAGUCCACAUCCACAAAGACUACAUUUCCCAGGGGCACCUAGCAGUGAUGCCGGACCUUUCACUCCAGAACGGCCACCCUCCUCCACCACAGAAGAAGAAGAAGAAACGGGUUUCCGAGGUGUCUGCGCUGAGCUUGCCUGCUCCAGGUCUUCCUGGAAUCCCUCUACUCCAUGCCCUGGGUUUCCCACUCUCCGCCUUUGGACCAGGAACCAUGGGAACACUGACCCAGUCACAACAUUCCAAAGACGCCCUGGUCACCAGCACCGCUCCCAGAACGUUCUACCACGGACUCACGCACAAUGGCAGCCAGCUGGUGGGAGAGGGACCCAACGCUCAGAGAAAACUACAGUGAUCCAAUCCUCCGACAGUGAACAUCUAGAAUGGAUCCAGAAUGGAGACGUGCAGUGUUAAAAAAAAAAUAUAUAUAAAAAAAUGUGGGGGGGGGGGGGUGCAAAUCAGAACUGGAUGUAAAGGCCUAUUGAGCCUGGAAUAAUGAUCUUGGAAUGGACACCUAUAAGACAGUGGAUCUUCUGCGCUCCUGCUGAACAGAUUUGAUGGAACAUUCCUCGUCAGCACUGGGAUGGGGUGAACUUUUAAAUGGGUCACAGAGCUGCAUGUAUAUCACUGGCUAGCACGGUGGUGUUAUGAGGAAUGUUACACUUACUGAAUUGAAUGUAUUGUUGCCAUAUUAAGUAUUAUUGAUAGUUUGUAUGGCCAAUCAAAUAAUGUAACCACAUUGGUAGCACGUUGUAAUAAAGCAUUUCAAAUGAAAUAU
rnacentral:lncRNA from 1 species